GUCAAAUGUCACAGUAAACAAUAUUGAUAUGUACAGCAAGCUUCAGUUUCAAUGUGUGGUUAGCUUACCUGUUUUCUCGAUGAAAUGUCCGAAUUACUUACGCAACAGUAUUUUUACUGAGAUUUGGUUGAACUUUGUCCAGCUUCCAUCAGUGUCAGUCCAUAGUUGAUAACAUGGUCAGUAAGUGUUGCACGGAUUUCUUGAGUCAAAUUUGGUCCUCGUCUUCUUUGUUCAGGUUCUAUCAACUCUUCAAGUCCUUCUCUACCUCUUCCUCCACCUCCUUCUCCUUUUCCUCUACCUAGGCCUCUUCCUUAUUCUCCUUCUCCUCUUCCUCUACCUAGGCCUCUUCCUAAUUAUCCUCCUCUUCCUCCUUCAUCUCCUCUUUGAGCUCCCCCUCUCAUUCUUACUCUUCUUCUUAUUCUUCUAGCUCCUUCCAUUUUUGCUGAAGACAGGUGAACUCACCUGCUGCCUUUUAUAGCACACCUGAGUCCUGCGUUUUCAAAUUAGCACGUGCGCUUCCACACCUGGUGGAUGUGAUUAUCCAAUUCGUUCAUUAGUGUGGUCAUUGGCAAUCUGGGGCUUUGUAAUGACAAGGAAGUAACCUCACAAUCCUUAUCUGUGUCUAAGGUGUGAAAAUGUGUGUAGAGUUUUACAAAUCACUGUGUGUAAUGGUUUGCAAAAAGGGUGAAGCAAACACUGUGUGUAAUGUUGUGCAAAUCUGUGGAGGUGUUUUGCUCAUUGGAGAAGAAUUUUGCAAAUUGUGUGGGAAUUUUUGUUUUAGUGUGUAAACAAUCGUAAAAAAACUGUAAUUAUAGGACCUAAAAACUCUGCAUGUAAUAACCUAGAAUGAUAUCUAAGACUUGAUGGCUGCUCUGUCAAUUCUUCGUCAUCAAUUAGGUGUGCUAUUUGAUAGCAAUCUUUCCUUAGAAAGCCAUGUUUCUAGCAUUUGUAAAACUGCAUUUUUCCAUCUCAAAAAUGUAUCUAAAUUACGACCUAUGCGCUCAAUGUCAAAUGCAGAAAUGUGUUUAUGACCUCAAGUUUAGAUUAUUGUAAUGCUUUAUUGGGUGAUUUAAUGGUUUGAUUUGAUUUAAUGGUUUAUUUAAAAGGGGACAGUGCAAUUUCAUAAAACACAUGAACAAUCAUGGUUAAAAAAGCCAGAAUUAGCCAAAAGGCUAUUUUUCAUCUGUAGUCCCCUGGCCAAGAUGUAAAAAAAGCAUUAAAAUACGAACAAGAAAAUACAUUUACAAGUCUAUGGCAAAUUUACUACAAUAUAACUACAAUAUAAAUGACACUGUAAAAUAACCUAAGGUACACUGUACCUGUUACAAUAAUAAGACACACAAAAAACACAUUUUCAAAAAGGCUAUAGUAUAUCAAAUAUAUAAUACAGCUCAAUAGGCUCGGCUUUUAAUGUUGGCAGACAUAAUUGUUAAUGAGCCAAAUUUUUUUAUUUUUUUGUAAAGGCCUUGUAAGUGUUGAGCUGUCUAGCCUCCUCAGGUAUAAAAUUCCAUUCAGUAGCGCACCUCACUGACCAGGCCGAGGGACUGAAAACGCUCCUGCGCAGAGGGAUGACACAGUCCCCUCUGGCAGAGCCUCAAGUAACGUGCUCAGAGCUGUUUCUUUGGCUGAUGAACUCAGCCAGAGGAGCUGGUGCCAAAUCAUGUGUCACUUUGUAUAUGAGAUUCAGAUUUAAAAACUUAUAAAUACUGUUCCAGUUUAAAAGGCUGUGUUUAUUUAAAAUUGCACAGUGAUGAUAGUGCCUUGGUUUUUUGUUAAUGAUUUUAAUGGCUUGUUUGUAUAAUGUUUCCAAAGGUCUUUUUGCGCUCUGACUUGUUUGAGACCAACUUGUAAAGCAGUAGUUGAGGUGACUGAAAAUCAUGGAAUGUAAAAAAAUAAGUGCAGCUUCGGUUGACAUGUCAUUUCGAAUUGAGCGGAAAUUUGCAAGAUUAAACUUGAUUAUUUUACAUAAUUUUUCAAUAUGGGCUUUAAAGGAGAGAUGUGAAUCUAUUACUAAGCCGAGAUAUUUAUAUUGAUUUACGAUUCGUAAUUUUUCUCCAGCAACUAUUAUGUCAGGAUUAAAUGAAGCUCUAUUGGUUUUACUGAAGAACAUACCUACAGUUUUCGAAAUAUUUAGCUGCAGGCAGUCCUCCUGCAGCCAGGAUGUAACACGAGUCAUUGCUUUUUACGAGUCCAGCUAGUCCAAAAUGCAGCAGCUAGAGUUCUUACUAGAACCAGGAAGUAUGACCACAUUAGCCCGGUUCUGUCAACACUGUACUGGCCCCCUAUUAAACAUUGUAUAGAUUUUAAAAUCUUGCUUAUUACUUAUAAAGCCCUGAAUGGUUUAGCAAGUUACAUUAUAGUCCUCCACAUCCCAUCUCUUUAACCUGGCUUUCAUAUAACACACUAAUAUGCUUCUAAUAUCCAAAUCCAUUAAAGGAUUUUUAGGCUGCAUUAAUUAGGUCUACCGGAACCGGGAACACUUCCCAUAACAGCAAAUGUACUUGUUAGCAGAAUGGCAGCUACGCUAAUAUUAGUCUGUUUCUCUCUUAUUCCGAGGUCACCGUAGCCACCAGAUCCAGUCUGUAUCCAGGUCAGAUGGUCACUGCAGUCACCCGGAUCCAGUACGUAUCCAGCCAAGAUGGUGAAUCAGCAGCUACAUAGGACCUCUACAGCCCUGAAUGUCAGUGGAGACCAGGAAACUAGAUGAUCCCCAGAUACAGAUCCCCUGUAAAGACCUUGUCUCAGACAAGAAAUCCUGAUUGAGGAGUUUUACUGUGUCUGGAAAUGGAAGGUUUUUCACCAUCGUCCCUCCAAAUGUCCCUCCAGGAUCCAAUGGAUGCUGAAUGCCAAGACAUCACAGCUGAACAAUACAAGGAAGGAAAAGGCACACCAAAAGAUUCUUCCCAAGUUGCCUUGCCAGAGAAGAUAUCAGGUGGGAUGUGGAUGAGACCAUGUGACCAAACGUAGAAGACCAGGCAGAUUAGAUAAUUUUU
ensembl:lncRNA